rnacentral:tRNA from 1 species
GAGCUUGAAGCUCAGUUGGUCAGAGCAUGGUGCUGAUAACACCAAGGUUGUGGGUUAAAUCCCUGUAUAGGCCA